UGCAGCCAUAAAGAAGAGCAUCAACAUGAGAUAACUUAUCCACGUACACACCAACGCACAUCUUCGCUAGACAAGUCACAGAGAUGGCAUUUGGCUCUGCUUCCUCGGGGAAUUGUUCACAGCACAGAAUUAUCACACAGUUUAACACAGCUGGCAGUCUGGGCUCAAGAGGAAACAGAAAAAGAUUGGAGAGGAUAAACAGCAGUUGCUGACUAUUGAAAUAUCAAACUGAUUUGGGAGGCCGAGGUGGAUGGAUCAUCUGAGCUCAGGAGUUCAAGACCAGCCUGAUGAAUAUGGUGAAACCUCGUCUCUACUAAACAAAUACAAAAAUUACCCGGGCAUGGUGGCAUGCACCUGUAGUCCCAGCUACUCGGGAGGCUGAGACAAGAGAGUUGAUUGAACCCAGGAGGCGGAGGUUGCAGUGAGCUGAAAUUGCGCCACUGCACUCUAGCCUGGGUGACAGAACGAGACUCCAUCUACAAAAAAAAAAAAAAAAAAAAAAAAAGAAAAAAGAAAUACCAAACUGAGACUAGAAAUAAGCAAGAGAAGCAGCAUUACAACAGGUGUUUAUUGGAGCUCUUUUCCUAGAACUGAUAAUUGGAUUCAUGGUAUUCUGGAGAACAAGAUUCAGUCUCACUUCUCUGAGUCAAUUUUCACCAGGCAGCAUCUAGGGAGGAUCGGCCAUUCAUCAAGCAACCAUGGACCUGGGUACAAUGAGGUCAUGGUAAGCUGUGGGAAUCUGACCUGCUCUCUGCUAGUGGAUGAAGCUACAUCAUUCAACUUCUUGCUGAGUUCCUUCACUGUGAAUUCUACUUCUUCAUUGAAACUAAAAGGAUGAUUCGACCAUCAACACUGUGGAAUGCAGGCAUUCUUCAAGACUGUAUUUUCCAGGCGAGACUUCACAGCAUUGUAAUCUCUGGGUCUGGAGGACUGCACACUUGCUUUUCUGAUGUCUGAGAGGGAGUGAGCUCAAAGAUCUCUUCUAUUUCUUUUAGCAUGAAGGGUAUACUGCCCACUUAGCAAUUCCUAUCCUCCCUUGACAUUCCACAGCUCCUUUUUAUUCACGGAGUGAUGCAGGUGUCAUUACUUCUCAGUUUCUGUCUUUUGUGAAUACUGGAGAUCCUCCUGAGGCAUGCCAUCUUAUCACCACAAGUCAAUAUUCAUUUGCUUUCUUCAAGGUGCAUAGCACCAGCCUAUAGUGCUCAUCAGAGACAGUCUCAUUGUCAAAGUGGUUAAGGAGGAAGUAUAAUUCCUGGCCUAAAAAUCAUUUGGCCUCCAGCCCCUGUGUGUCUACAUCCUAAAGAAAAUAAAUAACAAUUUUCCAAAUGGCUAUUUGCCACUUAAAACGAAAUCAGCUCUUGACAAUAAACCAAUUUAAC
rnacentral:lncRNA from 1 species